UCGCUGGUGGUCCAGGGGCUAACACUCUGCACUCCCAAUGCAGGGGGCCUGGGUUCAAUCCCUGGUCAGAGAG
rnacentral:tRNA from 1 species